AGAAGUUUAAGUUAAUACAAACUAAGGGCCUUCAAAGCCCUAAACACGAGCACCCACCCUCAUAACUUCUG
rnacentral:tRNA from 1 species